rfam:Bryantella formatexigens DSM 14469 B_formatexigens-1.0.1_Cont9.1, whole genome shotgun sequence.
UGAUGCCAGGGGGAAAGGGUCCUGUCCCCGCAUGAGCUUGCUCAUAAGCGGGGGCUGGAUCCUGAAUCCCGCCCCGAUAUGAGCAUAAAAGUGGGAUGUAUAUCCCACGAUAUGCGAAUAGCGGGUCGGAUUUUGAAAGCGCGCAGCGCGGAAAAAUCCGAAGGCAUCA